rnacentral:rRNA from 1 species
UACGUAGGGUGCGAGCGUUAAUCGGAAUUACUGGGCGUAAAGCGUGCGCAGGCGGUCUGUUAAGACCGAUGUGAAAUCCCCGGGCUUAACCUGGGAACUGCAUUGGUGACUGGCAGGCUUUGAGUGUGGCAGAGGGAGGUAGAAUUCCACGUGUAGCAGUGAAAUGCGUAGAGAUGUGGAGGAAUACCGAUGGCGAAGGCCAGCCUCCUGGGCCAACACUGACGCUCAUGCACGAAAGCGUGGGGAGCAAACAGG